AAUAGCGUAAAAAACAAAAUUAAUUAAAUUUAAUAUAUUAAAAUAAAUAAUCUAGUGUAGUGAAGUGUGUUCAACGUGAAACUUUAAUAAAACAAAAGGAAAACAAACUUUAUUGGAAAUUUGUAGCAACGACAACAAAAAACUAUUCCACGUUUAAAUGCAAAUGGAAUGAUUGAAGCUUAACAAAAUAGAAUUGCAGAAAUCGAACGGAGAACUAGAACUACUUUUGAAUUCCGAAAACUAUAUCAUUGUGUCACUUCUCAAAGCUGUUGCACAUCUCUGCACACGUCAGCUGCCAUUACAACGCAUGCCGGACUUAUGCUUAUGACGUCCAAGGACGAGCAAAAGUAAAGUGUUGCCUGUGACAGACAUUCGAAAAACAAUACAUUUUCAUUUAGGGAUAAUACAAAGAGAGACAAAAGAUUAAAUGGAAAGACACACAAAAGACAGGCUUUAGUAUGUUUAUGAAAGGAUGUUGUUGGCGAUUUUUUAUUUUCGCCACAGUAUUUCUUGCUUCGACUGUCUAUUAUUGAGAUGAAAGAAAAGAAGAAAAAAAAAAUAAAAAUUGCAAUAAAAG